UACGUAGGGUGCGAGCGUUGUCCGGAAUUAUUGGGCGUAAAGAGCUUGUAGGCGGUCUGUCGCGUCUGCUGUGAAAACUCGGGGCUUAACCCCGGGCCUGCAGUGGGUACGGGCAGACUAGAGUGCGGUAGGGGAGACUGGAAUUCCUGGUGUAGCGGUGAAAUGCGCAGAUAUCAGGAGGAACACCGGUGGCGAAGGCGGGUCUCUGGGCCGUAACUGACGCUGAGGAGCGAAAGCGUGGGGAGCGAACAGG
rnacentral:rRNA from 1 species